UGAUAUUUCCAUCUACAAAUGUAAAUGGAUAUUCAUGACACGAAUAAUAUGAUAUAUAUGUUUGUCUUGUUGGAUAAGUUCAUAUAUGUGUGUAUUUACUAAGCAGGUAAGAUAAUCCAAAGAUUUUGAACUGUCCACGAGUAUAUCAUCGUAUCUAUGAUAUUUUUGUUAAAAUGAAUUUUGAUUAAAAAAACUUGUUUUUAUAAUUUACUAAAAUGCAACAACAAAAGUUCAUCACAUUCAUGUCGUAGCAACAAAAGUUCAUCACAUUCAAGAUUAUUCCAUUUCUUCAUGUUUGUGUUUCCUUCUUUCUAUUGAUUUUUAUUUUUUAAUUGUUUUACCGUUGGUAGCAUAUGUUGAAUCAAAUCAAAUUUAAAUUUUUUAAAUGUUCAAAGUUAGUACCAAUUCCACACGUUUCAAUCUUCUUAUUCUACUUCAUCGUCUUUUUUUUAUUCUUUAUUUCCUCAUUCUUGUAUCAUCCCUAGAGUGCUCGCAAGGCAGAACCAUCAAAUUCACAAUUUUUUACCUUUCAAGAACAAAUAUUUCGCUAUAUUCUUUCCCAGUUUGCUUUGAUGGUAAGCACCCGCGCUAUUCAUCAAAAUAUCUGUUUUAUACUGCUAUUUUUUCUAGAGAAUUGUUGUUCCCACAAUUGAUAAGGCCGUGCCACACUAGUAAAAUAUGAUUUUGCCCCCUCGGCAGUUAACUGCUGAAGAAUUUGAAAUCCGGCUGCAGUUAACUGCCGAAGAAAACCUCGGUAGUUAUCUGCCGAGGAAAAUGUUAUAAGAACAUAACAAACAUAGGAGUUUCCAAAACUCCAUUGUUACGUUUUUUGAUCUCCAAUGUGCGAUUUUGAGCUAUUUCAAGACAUUCCAAGCCAAUUUCAAUCACAAAAACAAGUAAGUUUUUUUUAAUCUUAUUGCAUUGUUGUUUUGCGGUUGAAUUAUUUGUUUUUUUUUGUUAAAUUUCGAUUAUAUAGGUUCGAUUAUAUAUAUUUUAUUGAUUUUAUGAUUUUAUGAUAUGUUAGGAUAGUUUAGGUUAGAAUUGUUAGAGAACUUUUAUUGAAUUGUUAGGUUUAGAUUUUGAUGAAUCGUUGUAGAACUGUUUAGGUUUAGGUGUAGGUUUUGAUGAUAGUUUAAGUUUUGGUUUAGUUUUUGAUUUUAUGAUUUUAUGGCAUUGUUGUUUAGUUAGGUUUUGAUCGCCAUUUGUUUUUAAUGUAGAUAUGUCUCAGAAUCAGAAUCAGGGUAACGUUCAGGGUGAUGACAUGACAUUGGUGUUUUCAUGACAUUGAUUUGUAUAUUUGUACUUUGAUGACAUUACUUUUAAUUCCAUGAGAUUUUUUACUGUUUAAUGUAUAAAAAUAUUGGUUUAAUUAAGUUGUGCAUUUGCGCCAAUAUUUUUUUGUGAUUUGAACCGUUAUGAUGAAUUUCAAACGUUUGUGUAAUUUGAAUCAAAUGUCGGUUUAAUUUAAUUAUGGACAAUUGUAAAAAAAUUGUAUUUUUCUUGUUUAUGUCCAAGUUUCAAUGUUGUAUGAAUUAUUUUGCCUUUCGAAAUGCUCUGCUUUAAUUACAGGUAAAAACUGGCCGAAAAAUGGCUUGAAAAUGUUUUAGAAAGAAUCAUGCAGAGCUCACUGUCUGCUUGUUUUCCUCAGCAGUUAACUUCCGAAGUUUUCAUCGGCAGUUAACUGCAGCUAGAUUUCUAAUUCCUCAGCAGUUAACUGUCGAGGGGGCAAAAAAGUAAAUUACUCGUGUGUCACAGUCUUAUCAAAUGUGGGAACAACAAUUCUCAUUUUUCUAUAGGUUGCUAAUCGCUUUUGAUCAUUUGUCUUGUUUUCACUAGAAAUAUUUCAUUAAAUUGUUGAAUUUUCAAUGUCGCAAGACACUUCACAAAUCAAGAAGUUAGCAAAGAAGAUGAGAAUUCAUAACACU
rnacentral:lncRNA from 1 species